rfam:Medicago truncatula strain A17 chromosome 1, whole genome shotgun sequence.
AAUCCAUGGUGGGGACAAGCUCUCAUUAAUUCUUUGUACCUCUCCCACGCAUCAAAAAGCGAUUCGCCGUCUGUCUGCCUAAAGCAGGUAAUUUGGUUCCUAAGCU